rnacentral:rRNA from 1 species
GGGGGGUUAGUGGCGGACGGGUGAGUAAUAUAUCGGAACGUGUCCAUUAAUGGGGGAUAACUAGCCGAAAGGUUGGCUAAUACCGCAUACGCCCUGAGGGGGAAAGCUGGGGAUCUUCGGACCUGGCGUUAAUGGAGCGGCCGAUAGCUGAUUAGCUAGUUGGUGGGGUAAAGGCCUACCAAGGCGACGAUCAGUAGCUGGUCUGAGAGGACGACCAGCCACACUGGGACUGAGACACGGCCCAGACUCCUACGGGAGGCAGCAGUGGGGAAUUUUGGACAAUGGGGGCAACCCUGAUCCAGCCAUUCCGCGUGAGUGAAGAAGGCCUUCGGGUUGUAAAGCUCUUUCGCAAGAGAAGAAAAGAUAUAGGUUAAUAGCCUAUGUUGCUGACGGUACCUUGAUAAGAAGCACCGGCUAACUACGUGCCAGCAGCCGCGGUAAUACGUAGGGUGCGAGCGUUAAUCGGAAUUACUGGGCGUAAAGCGUGCGCA